rnacentral:rRNA from 1 species
UGAACGCUAGCGGCAGGCUUAACACAUGCAAGUCGAGGGGUAUGCCGAUUUAUCGGCAGAGACCGGCGCACGGGUGCGUAACGCGUAUGCAAUCUACCUUUCACAGAGGGAUAGCCCAGAGAAAUUUGGAUUAAUACCUCAUAGUAUAGCAGUUUCGCAUGAAACCACUAUUAAAGUUCCAACGGUGAAAGAUGAGCAUGCGUCCCAUUAGCUAGAUGGUAAGGUAACGGCUUACCAUGGCUACGAUGGGUAGGGGUCCUGAGAGGGAGAUCCCCCACACUGGUACUGAGACACGGACCAGACUCCUACGGGAGGCAGCAGUGAGGAAUAUUGGACAAUGGGCGCAAGCCUGAUCCAGCCAUGCCGCGUGCAGGAUGACGGUCCUAUGGAUUGUAAACUGCUUUUAUACAGGAAGAAACACUCCGACGUGUCGGAGCUUGACGGUACUGUAAGAAUAAGGAUCGGCUAACUCCGUG